CCCUUAGAUGUUCUGGGCCGCACGCGCGCUACACUGAUGCAUUCAACGAGUCUAAAACCUGCUCUGAUAGGGGUGGGUAAUCUUUUGAAUGUGCAUCGUGAUUGGGAUAGAUGAUUGCAAUUUUUCAUCUUCAACGAGGAAUGCCUAGUAAACGCAAGUCAUCAGCUUGCAUUGAUUACGUCCCUGCCCUUUGUACACACCGCCCGUCGCUCCUACCGAUUGAAUGAUCCGAUGAAUAUCAUGGAUUGAGGAUGCAAGUAGGUUCGCCUAUCUUCAUCUUCGAGAAGUGAAGUAAAUCUUAUCAUCUAGAGGAAGUAAAAGUCGUAACA
rnacentral:rRNA from 1 species